UUUUUUUGGGUUUAUUUUCUGUUAUUUUUAUGUGUUUUUUUUUUUUUGUAUAAAAAUGUAGGCAUUUUCGAAGGCAUGGAUUGCUACAUGUAAUUCAGUGGAAAAGAAUCCUAGCUUGUUGGUUCCAAGAGGUCAUACAUUUUUGGUCCAUUCACUCAUCUUUUCUGGCCCAUGCAAACCCUCUAAUUUCUUUUUUCUGAUAGAGGGAGGGAUUGUAGCACCAAAUGGUCCUAGUAAAUGGAAAGGAGGCAAUGAUAGUUUGAUAUUGUUUGAGAA